CAUAGCGUUUGGGUAAUCGCUGCAACGUAAACGUUGUAGAGGAAAGUCCAUGCUCGCACGACCUGAGAUGGUCGUAGUGUUCGUGCCUAGCCAAUUCAUAAGCUAGGGUAUUCUGGCCGCGAGGCUGGUUUAACGGCAGGGAAAAAACCUAAGUCCUUUUGGAUAUGGUUUGACUACCUUUAAAGUGCCACAGUGACGAAGUCCUUGAAGAAAUGAUAGGAGUGGAACGAGGUAAACCCCACGAGCGAGAAACCCAAAUAAUGGUAGGGGAAUCUUUUCCAAGGAAAUGAACGAUGGAAAAGGACAGGUUUGAGUAACCUGUAGAUAGAUGAUUACCACCGGAGUACGAGGCGUGGGCCGUUUGUAGUACAAAGGAACAGAACAUGGCUUACAGAACGUUAUGAACC
rnacentral:RNase_P_RNA from 1 species